GUAACCAACAAGCGACAAAUAUUCAGUCUUGAGGGCGCAAGUACUGAAGCUAUGAUCCAGCUGUUGAGAAUAACUGAUAAUCAUGGUGUCUUAUGUGUAACUAUUUUCUUCAGAAAUCACCAAGUACUUACUGCAAAGGUUUUCGUGUCACCGACAACUCUGCUUCACUAGUAGAUUGGGGAAGGCGGCCGCUGCCCUCGUCUCCGCAUUGCCACGUCCUACUCCUCUGCUCCACAACGUACAUGGCUAAAGUAAGUCAGGGUUGCACGUGCAGGUACAACUCGUCGACGUCAAGGAGAAUGAUGCCUUAGACCAGUCUGAGAAGCCAUCGCCGUCCUCGGGUGCUGCCGCCAACGGAUACGGGCGCUUGGUGACUGAAGAGGUUGUUAGAGUUUUUCAUGUCAUCGACAACUCUGCGUCACUAGUAGAUUGGGGUGUUCGGCUGCCACCCUUGUCUCCGCCGUGGCCAUCCUCCUCUUCAUCU